AGCUGAUGGUUACCAGGGAAAAGGAGAGGGGGGCACGAGUGGAGGGGAAAGUUACAGGCUUCCUUCCAGUUAUGGAAUGAAUAAGUCAUGGGAAUGAAAGGCACAGCAAUAAGGAAUAUAGUCAAUUCCUUGUCAAUUCCUGUGUCUCCCUCUCUCUCUGCCCCUCCCCCACUCACGCUCUGCCUCUCUCUCUCAAAAAUAAAUAAACAUUAAAAAAAAAGGAAUCUAGUCAAUGGUAUUGAGGUAGUGGUGGACAAUGACAAGUGGGCCGGUGACCAGAGAAGUCACUAUGUUGUAUACCCGGAACUAAUGUAACAUUGUAUGCCAGCUAUAGGCAAAUGAAGAAAAGAAAAGAAAAAAGAAAAGAAAAGAAAAGAAAAGAAAAGAAAAGAAAAGGAAAAGAAAAGAAAAGAAAAGACACAAACUGAUUUCACAGUUCUGGGGGUCAGAAAUCUGAGAUGGGUCUCACUGGGCUAAAAUCAAGGUGUCGACCCGGCAGUGUUUCUUUUGCAGCCUCCAGGAGAAUGUUUCCUCCCCUUUUCCUGGUCCGGAGGCUGCCCGAGUGCCCUUGAACAAUGAGUUGGAAUACCACUCCUGAAUCUGUUUCCAUCAAUCGCCUUCUCUUCUGUAGUCCAAUCUCCAUUUGCCCAGCCUACCAAGAGGCCAAGGGGGCUGAGAAAGUGAGGAGUGGUCUGGCCCCUGAGACAAGGGUUAGAUCUUGCAGGCCUGACUGGGUGGGUUUCUCCGCCCCCGACUUCCUUUGCAGCACCCCGCUGGUGGCAGGACUUCGGAUAGGGUGACCAGACAACCAGACCCAAAGCUGUGAGGCUAAAGAUCUCUGUGUCCAAGUUUUGCUCAGGAAGAACAUGGCCGUCCACCUUCCGACAGGCCCCAGCAGCUGGCACAGCUAGCUGGGGCCGGACCACCGGAUCAUUCAGGAUGGCCUAAAAACCAAAGGCCUUUCCCCACAUUUUCUGGACAGACUCAUAGCAUCCGAGGCAAGCAGAAGGCACCCCACAACCUGACUGAUAGCGCAUUUCUUGGUAUUCUUGUCAAGUGGAGGCACCGACUAUGUUUAAUUGGAUUUGGAUAAAAAAUAUGGUAAAGGGACAUAUUUUGCUUCUGAAUGUUGUGGAUCCCACACCACACCUGUUUGGAGAUGAGGCAUAAUUGGCUUAUGUUUUUUCAAUUAAAAAAAAUAUAUUUAUUCUUGAGAGAGAGACAGAGACAGAGCACGUGGGGGAGGGAGACAGAGGGAGCAGAGAGCGAGAGGGAGACACAGAAUCCAAAGCAGGUUCCAGGCUCUGAGCUGUCAGCACAGAGCCCAACGUGGGGCUCGAACCCACAAACUGUGAGAUCACGACCUGAGCCGAAGUCGGAUGCUUCACCGACUGAGCCACCCAGGCGCCUGGCAUAAUUGGCUUCUAAAGUAAAUACGCUGUUGUGUCACCUUUCCCAUCACGUUGUGACUAUCUGCUCCAAGAGUCCUGCUUUUUACAAAGUGAAUUUUCUUAUCUCCAAGGCUUUAGGUGUCUUUCUCUUCUACUUUACUGGAGGGGGGGAGCCCCCCAAAACAACAUGCAGCCAAGCCUCCAGUGGCUCUCAAGAGGGCCAGAUCAGGGCUCCCAGGCACCUGUAAUAAGAACUCUUUGCCCUUCCCCCCAACUUGAAUGUCCCUUCGGAGAAAAGACCACAGUGUGCCUUCGGGGUCAGGUAUGAGGAUUAUGCGGAUAGUUGGUUCUCCAACCUGAUCAACCUUGGACUCCAUAGACGGUGUCCAUCCAGCGGCUGGUCAGGAUGACAGCCCAGACGCAGAACCAGCGGGGAACACGGUGUCCCCACCCUCCGUUCCGCUGGGAAGACGGCCGAGGCAAAUCAAACAGGAAAAACGGCUGCAUUUGCUCAUAAGGGACAAGGAACAUUUUGCUAUUGAAGACCGGAGGUGACUGUAGUGGCUUCUCCAUUUGAAGGGCACUGGCAUCACUCAUUUCCACGGGAAAACGAAUUCCCUCCUGCUCAGUGGAGCUGGGGGGACAGAAGAUUUGCUGUCCCUGGCAUUUGUCGUCACCUGAGGUGCUGAUCCUGAGAAUAUUCCCUACCAAACUUCAGCGGCUGAUCUCCAUCUCAGAGUGUGCUUCCCAGAGAACCCAACCUGGGACACCUCCAAUGACACCACUCUCUGGAAGAGUUAGACAGAUGCCCUCAAAGGAGCCAUCCUGCUGUCCCCAGCUAUUGUUAGGAGAUGUGAAGCCACGUCUAACUCCUGCCUCGUUCUGCCUUCUCAGGCCACUCAUAAAUAGGUGGCUGAGAGAAGGGAAGGAGAAAUCAAGUCACUGAUACUCACUGCCCAGGAACGACCACCACGAGUCUCACAGAAAGGCGUUGGAGAUGCCAUUAUUGCCAACAUCCCAAUUAACAACAUCUUCGCUGAAAUUACUUUUUGGCCUAAAUCACUUGGAUGCAAAGAAUAUUAAAUGGUUGCCUUGCUCAAAAGUA